AGAAAUCCGAGGGGGCACCCGUGCUCGUGCUCUCCUGUCUCCUGCACCCUACGGCUCUUUUUCCCUGACUCUUCGUCUUACGGAGGCCAAUGUCCAACUGAAGAUGCCGCCCAACUCCCCCCAAGGUUUCUUUAAAAGUAAAUCAGAGACGGCCCCACGCCAACCACGUCGCGUUGUUCGCUUCCGAUCCUAUGUCGUCCUUCAUCGGACUACGACGGCGUCGCCGUCGUCCCGACGACGAAAGCGGGAAGUCCACUUUUCCAUCUCUCCGAUGAACCGGUACCAGGCGCACGCGGUGCACACGAAUGAAUGAAGAUGGUUCCGGAUGAUUCAACACGUACGAAAAUAUACGCGGGAGAGGGGAAAGUCACGCCGGUGAUUUCCGAUAUCCUUUAAUUGCGUCCGGAUUCCGCAGAAAAAGCGACAAGCGAAUGCCCCGGGGGACGUGACGACCUCCGCUUAUCUGAACACGUUUAGAUUGUUACCGUAAAAAGUUAAAUGCCACAACAAAUAUUCUAAAAAUAAGGGGUUCUAAAAUUCAAGGGGUGGGAAAACACAUUUUUAAAAAAUGUUAUGUUUCAGCCAAAAUUAUUAUCUCUCUUAUUUUUGGGAAAUUAGACUUUAUAAGGUUAUAUUUUAAAUAUUCUAUUUUUUUUUUUAUUAUAAACCAGUCUUGCUUUAUGUUAUAAAUCCAAAUAUUAAUUUAAAUCUUAUUGUUACGCAUGAUUUUACGAGCAAGUUCUAAUUAAUUUGCGACCGUUAUAAUAACAUGGCCUACUAUUUCUCCCCACCAAUAAAAUUACAUCGAUGACUCGCAAUGCAUUUACGAUUAGCACAAGUGAUAUCAGUUCUUUGUUCGCGUGCUAAUUGUCAUUCAUACCAUCGUUUCAUAUCGCACAGUUUCUGCUAACUAAUAAAUUUUUUUGUAAUAUGUCUGACAGCUGUUGAGCCAUAAAGUACGUAAACAAAAGAGCAAUGCAGUCUUAAUAAAUGAAUUAAAUUCUUUUUUAGUAUCUUCUUCAUUAUAACAAACUAAUAUAUAUUCACUAUAUAAUACAAUAUAUAUUUAAAAAUAUUAUAUAUUAUAAGCAAUAUACAUAAUUAUAUAAUAUAUAAAUUACUGCAAUUUUGAUUUUUUUCUCCUCAAAAAGACUAGCAGCUUUACCAAAAAAAGGAAAUUAGAAAUUAAUGCAUAGCAACAAUAAUUGACACCAUUAAUAGAAUUAUUUCAAAUUUUCCAAAUGUCUUCUAAUUUUUUUGCUCUACAAUCAACCGACACCAUAAAUUCGUGCCAGCAGCAAAUACCACAGUUCGCGACACAAAUUCUAACCGAAGACCCACUUUCGUGCACGUCCAGUCUCUCGCGGGAGUUUCGUCGUCAUACGGGAAAAGAAAGAAAAGAGAAAUAUACGGAACGCAACGAACGACACGAGUGCAGCGCGAAAUUAAUGCAGGUGCUCGUACGCUCGUAUAUUCGUUCAUUUGUUCGUACGUACGUUCGUUUGCCUCCGAUCGAUCCGCGGAAUCGUGUUUUGGCGGUUAAGGAGGGGCCUUUCUCCGGUUAGUAGGUCGAAGAAAGUAGUGGCCAGGAGUGGUUCACCUUGGUUAAUAUUUGUUCGUUCGUUUUCAGAUGCCUGGCCAGGUCGUACCAAUAGCGAUGGCAUCAAACUUAUCGCGAGUAGUUGCUUAUCGAAACGCGAUACUCCAUUCCUUUAAGAAUAUCUCGAUAGCAUAAAAGUACGAGAAUCUUGAGUAAAAAUACUCAAAAUUCACACAAAUAUGUUUUUCUACCAAAGAGAUUCCAAAUCCUAAUUUCUAAACGUAUUUCAGACGUCCAGCGGACUUUUAAUAUAAUGUCAAGUAAUUGCUUGUAAAUAUAUAAGUUGGAUUAUUCUUGUGCGAUGUUUUAAAAGAAGAGUGCAGAUUUUUUUCAGCGAUAGCGGAUCGCGCGGAAGUUAGCAUGGCGCAUCGAUUUGAUCCCAUCGCUACCCAAGCUAUCUCGAAUAUGAUAAUUCGAUCUUCGGUGGUUCCUAAAUCGAUGAAUAAGACGCGCGACCCGGAAAUAUGUAGGUCAUCUCGAUCAGGCGGGGGGCAAACGAGUUUUUACGUAACGUCGUGGGGUAAUCGUCAUCGUUGGGAUGCUGAGUCCCGGAUUGCAUCGCCUCACGGGAGGGAAAAAAA
rnacentral:lncRNA from 1 species